GGAGAGUUUGAUCCUGGCUCAGGAUGAACGCUAGCGGCAGGCUUAAUACAUGCAAGUCGUACGGGAUUUCAAGUAGCAAUAUUUGAAUGAGAGUGGCGCACGGGUGCGUAACACGUAUGCAACCUACCUUUAACCGGGACACAACCUUGAGAAAUUAAGGCUAAUAUCCCAUAACACUGCGACAAGGCAUCUUGAUGCAGUUAAAACUCCGGUGGUUAUAGAUGGGCAUGCGCGACAUUAGCUAGUUGGUGAGGUAACGGCCCACCAAGGCUACGAUGUCUAGGGGUUCUGAGAGGAUUAUCCCCCACACUGGUACUGAGACACGGACCAGACUCCUACGGGAGGCAGCAGUAAGGAAUAUUGGGCAAUGGACGCAAGUCUGACCCAGCCAUGCCGCGUGAAGGAUGACGGCCCUAUGGGUUGUAAACUUCUUUUAUACGGGAAAAAACCACAAGUCGUGUAUUUGUGCUGAUGGUACCGUAAGAAUAAGCAUCGGCUAACUCCGUGCCAGCAGCCGCGGUAAUACGGAGGAUGCAAGCGUUAUCCGGAUUCAUUGGGUUUAAAGGGUGCGCAGGCGGAAUAAUAAGUCAGCGGUGAAAGCCUACAGCUUAACUGUAGAACUGCCUUUGAUACUGUUAUUCUUGAGUGUUGUUGAGGUAGGCGGAAUGUGUCAUGUAGCGGUGAAAUGCUUAGAUAUGACACAGAACACCGAUCGCGAAGGCAGCUUACCAAGCAAUAACUGACGCUCAUGCACGAAAGCGUGGGGAUCAAACAGGAUUAGAUACCCUGGUAGUCCACGCUGUAAACGAUGAUUACUCGCUGUUGGCGAUACACAGUCAGUGGCUAAGCGAAAGUGAUAAGUAAUCCACCUGGGGAGUACGACGGCAACGUUGAAACUCAAAGGAAUUGACGGGGGCCCGCACAAGCGGAGGAGCAUGUGGUUUAAUUCGAUGAUACGCGAGGAACCUUACCUGGGCUCGAACGUAGAACGACGUAGUGUGAAAGCAUUAUUCCCUUCGGGGCGGUCUACGAGGUGCUGCAUGGUUGUCGUCAGCUCGUGCCGUGAGGUGUCGGGUUAAGUCCCAUAACGAGCGCAACCCCU
rnacentral:rRNA from 1 species